CUCUGUUUGUACGCCUUGGAAGAUACGACCAGAAGCCGUUGGAUUUCGUGAAUGGAAGACGCUUUUGACAGAUUUGUUUCUGUGCACAAGACAAAUGGGCUGUCGCACUCCCGACGUAGGAAAUGCACGCACACGUCGCUGAGAUCUUAAAAGACAAAGUAGGGUGCGCACUUCACCCAUGCAACUCCAAUGUCUGCUUCAUGGCAGUGCAAGCUUUUACAACCGUGCCCUUGAAUGUAACAAGCCAAAUAAACUGGAUACCAGAGAGAAGUUUCCUGGUUCUUUUGCUACUAUGUUCGC